GAUCCAGCCAUGCCGCGUGUGUGAAGAAGGCCUUCGGGUUGUAAAGCACUUUAAGCGAGGAGGAAGGUCUUUGAACUAAUAUUUCAAAGAAUUGACGUUACUCGCAGAAUAAGCACCGGCUAACUCUGUGCCAGCAGCCGCGGUAAUACAGAGGGUGCAAGCGUUAAUCGGAAUUACUGGGCGUAAAGCGCGCGUAGGCGGUAUGUUAAGUCGGAUGUGAAAUCCCUGGGCUCAACCUAGGCAUUGCAUCCGAUACUGGCACACUAGAGUGUGGGAGAGGAAGGUAGAAUUCCAGGUGUAGCGGUGAAAUGCGUAGAGAUCUGGAGGAAUACCGAUGGCGAAGGCAGCCUUCUGGCCUAACACUGACGCUGAGGUGCGAAAGCAUGGGGAGCAAACAGGAUUAGAUACCCUGGUAGUCCAUGCCGUAAACGAUGUCAACUAGCCGUUGGGCUCCUUGAGGGCUUAGUGGCGCAGCUAACGCGAUAAGUUGACCGCCUGGGGAGUACGGUCGCAAGACUAAAACUCAAAUGAAUUGACGGGGGCCCGCACAAGCGGUGGAGCAUGUGGUUUAAUUCGAUGCAACGCGAAGAACCUUACCUGGCCUUGACAUGUCUGGAAUCCUGCAGAGAUGCGGGAGUGCCUUCGGGAAUCAGAACACAGGUGCUGCAUGGCUGUCGUCAGCUCGUGUCGUGAGAUGUUGGGUUAAGUCCCGCAACGAGCGCAACCCUUUUCUUUACUUGCCAGCGGGUCAUGCCGGGAACUUUAAAGAUACUGCCGGUGACAAACCGGAGGAAGGCGGGGACGACGUCAAGUCAUCAUGGCCCUUACGGCCAGGGCUACACACGUGCUACAAUGGUCGGUACAAAGGGUUGCUACCUAGCGAUAGGAUGCUAAUCUCAAAAAGCCGAUCGUAGUCCGGAUUGGAGUCUGCAACUCGACUCCAUGAAGUCGGAAUCGCUAGUAAUCGCGGAUCA
rnacentral:rRNA from 1 species